rnacentral:rRNA from 1 species
AUUGAACGCUGGCGGCAGGCUUAACACAUGCAAGUCGAGCGGAGCGAGGGUGCUUGCACCUUAGCUUAGCGGCGGACGGGUGAGUAAUGCUUAGGAAUCUGCCUAUUAGUGGGGGACAACAUUCCGAAAGGAAUGCUAAUACCGCAUACGCCCUACGGGGAAGCAGGGGAUCUUCGGACCUUGCGCUAAUAGAUGAGCCUAAGUCAGAUUAGCUAGUUGGUAGGUAAAGGCCUACCAAGGCGACGAUCUGUAGCGGGUCUGAGAGGAUGAUCCGCCACACUGGGACUGAGACACGGCCCAGACUCCUACGGGAGGCAGCAGUGGGGAAUAUUGGACAAUGGGCGAAAGCCUGAUCCAGCCAUGCCGCGUGUGUGAAGAAAGGCCUUUUGGUUGCAAAAGCACUCUAAGCGAGGAGGAGGCUACUUGGAUUAAUACUCUAGGAUAGUGGACGUUUACUCGCAGAAU